rnacentral:tRNA from 1 species
GCCGGGGUGGCCGAGUUGGUCCAAGGCGCGGGCCUGCUAAGCCCGUCCCCGUCAAGGGGGCGUGGGUUCAAAUCCCACCCCCGGCGCCA